rnacentral:rRNA from 1 species
UACGGAGGGUGCAAGCGUUAUCCGGAUUCACUGGGUUUAAAGGGUGCGUAGGUGGGUUUGUAAGUCAGCGGUGAAAUCUCCGGGCUUAACUCGGAAACUGCCAUUGAUACUAUAGAUCUUGAAUUUUCUGGAGGUAAGCGGAAUAUGUCAUGUAGCGGUGAAAUGCUUAGAUAUGACAUAGAACACCAAUUGCGAAGGCAGCUUACUACAGGGAUAUUGACACUGAGGCACGAAAGCGUGGGGAUCAAACAGG